rnacentral:rRNA from 1 species
AGCGAACGCUGGCGGCAGGCCUAACACAUGCAAGUCGAACGAACCCUUCGGGGUUAGUGGCGGACGGGUGAGUAACACGUGGGAACGUGCCUUUAGGUUCGGAAUAACUCAGGGAAACUUGUGCUAAUACCGAAUGUGCCCUUCGGGGGAAAGAUUUAUCGCCUUUAGAGCGGCCCGCGUCUGAUUAGCUAGUUGGUGAGGUAAUGGCUCACCAAGGCUACGAUCAGUAGCUGGUCUGAGAGGAUGACCAACCACAUUGGGACUGAGACACGGCCCAAACUCCUACGGGAGGCAGCAGUGGGGAAUCUUGCGCAAUGGGCGAAAGCCUGACGCAGCCAUGCCGCGUGGGUGAUGAAGGUCUUAGGAUUGUAAAAUCCUUUCACCGGUGAAGAUAAUGACUGUAGCCGGAGAAGAAGCCCCGGCUAACUUCGUGCCAGCAGCCGCAGUAAUAC